rnacentral:rRNA from 1 species
AGCUAAGUGGCGAACGGGUGAGUAAUAUAUAGGUAAUGUGCCUUGAAGAAGGGGAUAACAGUUGGAAACGACUGCUAAGACCCUAUAUGCCUUUAAAACAAAAGUUUGCAAGGGAAAUAUUUAUAGCUUCAAGAUCGGCCUGUACAGUAUCAGUUAGUUGGUGAGGUAAUGGCUCACCAAGACAAUGACGCUUAACUGGUUUGAGAGGAUGAUCAGUCACACUGGAACUGAGACACGGUCCAGACUCCUACGGGAGGCAGCAGUGGGGAAUAUUGCACAAUGGGGGAAACCCUGAUGCAGCAACGCCGCGUGGAGGAUGACACAUUUCGGUGCGUAAACUCCUUUUAUAUAGGAAGAUAAUGACGGUACUAUAUGAAUAGCGCCGGCUACUCCGUGCCAGCAGCCGCGGUAUACGGAGGGCGCAAGCGU